GGGACAUUAGCUUAGUUGGUAGAGCAGUUGACUCUUAAUCAUCAGGUCGCAGGUUCGACUCCUGCAUGUCCCA
rnacentral:tRNA from 1 species